GGAACCGCUGUCCUCCACACACAUUGUUACACUGAGCCUUCCUCUACCCAUACGCUCUGGACACGUACAAACUUCCGACCUCUACGCCGGUAACUCACUGUGACUCCAGUGCCGUGCUUUUUGUGACUGUGCUCCCGAACUUCGGAAAUUGUGUCUGAGGUGCCGUGCGCCAACAACAAGUGACACUAACAACAAUAAGAGUUCGUGACAAAAAUAAAGUUGUUUUUUUGACAAAAUGCGACACCGCGUCCAUAUCUAAUUAAUUGUUCACGGUGGGCCGAUCACUUCGUGGGUGUUUUUCAAGAUGGAGGAUGGCUGGGAAUCCCACGUAUCCCCUUUGAUGAUGGGCGUGGGGAUGGGUGAGAUGCAAAAUAUGGGAGAGAUGCAGACGCAUGGACAGGAUAUGUCGGGAGAUAUGUCGAUGCAGCAUCAUCACGAGAUGAGCGCGCACACCGACAUUAGCCAGGAUUUACACCAGGAUCUUGAGCAAGAAAUACACCACGACUUAAGGAAUCAUCAUGGGGAUAGCAUGGCAGGAUCCAGUGGGGAUUAUUAUUCUCACCAGGAUGGAGUAUACAGCUAUCAGAAUAAAGAGCUGUUAGUUUCUGGUCAGCCGACAACCAACUCAGGUUCUUCCCCAGUCUCAGGCGGUGGAUCACUUAGCCCCGGAGGAUCAGCUGGUAUUCCAGGUGCAUUGUCACCAGGUGGAACCUCUUCUACAGGUCCAACACAAUGCUGCGAAUCGGGGCGACCUCUAGUAACAGAUCCAGUGACAGGUCAGAGCGUAUGCUCCUGCCAGUAUGAUUCUGCUAGGUUAGCGGCGCUACAGUAUAGAAAUGCUAGUGUAGGCGUGUAUGGGACGCCGUAUCCUUCUACCGACCAAAACCCUUAUCCUAGUAUAGGCGUGGAAAGUUCUGCGUUUUAUUCACCUUUGGGUAAUCCAUAUGCGCUGAAGGAUGCGGGAGGGGCAGCCGAUAUGUCGGCGUGGACCAGUGCAGGUCUUCAACCUACAACAGGGUAUUAUCCAUAUGAUCCAACGUUAGCAGCCUAUGGAUACGGAGCAGGGUACGAUUUAGCAGCUAGACGUAAAAAUGCCACAAGGGAAUCGACGGCGACGUUGAAGGCAUGGCUCAAUGAACACAAAAAGAACCCAUAUCCUACGAAAGGAGAAAAAAUUAUGUUAGCUAUUAUCACCAAAAUGACCUUGACGCAAGUAUCGACAUGGUUUGCGAACGCAAGACGAAGACUGAAGAAGGAGAACAAAAUGACGUGGGAACCUAAGAACAAAACGGAUGAUGAUGAUGACGCUUUGGUAUCCGACAGUGAUGACAAAGAUAAAGAUGACGAUGACAAGAGAGACGAAACUGACAUUCAUGGUAGAAUAAAAUCGGAAAGUAACAAAGAUUUAGAUGACGACGACAUGACCGACGAAGAUAGGAAAGACGACAUCCUUGGCACUAACAUGCACCAUAUCUUAGGCAACGGCUUCGGAAUGAAAUCGGAAAUGAAAACCUCUGACUGCGGAGUUCCACUACCUCCGUCGAAGCCGAAAAUUUGGUCUUUGGCGGAUACAGCAGCUUGUAAAACUCCACCUCCACCUCCGUCAUCACAGCAAUGGCUCGGAAGUAAUGGUUUCGCCCUUCCUAGUUCUAGGUACAGCGGAAGUGGCUUCCUACCAAGUCAUUGUCAACAGGGGUUUCCAGACGUCCAAACCGAUACUCCCCCUCAGACUCCUCCUAGUAUGAAACUUCCCAGUGUAGCGGGCAAUCUGAUUCCUGGACAAGGUCCGUGCAUAGGGUCGUCAGGAAAUAGCGGGUAUUCUCAAUCGGGUUUUUUAGGCGGGUUUAGCAGAAUACAAUCACCUCAGAGGCCUCCAGUUCCUCAGUCGAACCAAAUGCCAGCUUCAACGACGGACAACGCUGCCUUUAAGCCUUUUUACAAAAGGUAGCUCCCAAAGCAUGAACGGAGGGUUCGUGUCGCCAGUAUGAGCCGCUCCCUUCUGGGCCCCGUCGAUUCAUCCACCUGGUAUGGUAAUUGACUCGACAAUAGUGGCAAAUAAUGGGCAAAGUGCAAGAGAAACAAAUAUACAGUGUGAGUGAAGAACUCUCGGAUGCAAUCUGUUGUACAUUUGUGUAAAUGCAUUUAUUUAUAUCUGUGAUAAAGAACAAAAGAAUGUCUUGACGACAGCGGAGAUGAAGAAUUUCGGCGACGGAGGAACCGUUCUAGAAGUAGUUUCUGAAUUUUAGAAAUUACUUGCACUUUAAAUUUGUAAAUUGUUGUGUACCAUCACGAAACGGAUCUGGGGAAGGACCAAAAAAGUAAAUUAGAGUAACUGAUCGUUCUUUAAAAAUAUCUUCUGUGUAAAAGGUAUAUUUAUUUAAAACCCCAAUAAAGGGCUACAUUAAAAAACAGAACGUUUUCGCUCUAAAGAGAGCAUCAUCAGUGUUCUAAGCAAGCUCUACAUGCUAAGCCACCAAAAGUACAUGGGUUAAAACCCUUAAAACGCCGACCAAAAGUCUUACAUUGGCGUGUUAUAUAUUAAACCCUGGCGAUGAGUGAAAUUUAAACAAGAUAUACCUCAAAGCAUCAUAUGACUAUACUACGUGUAUGUGAGUGGUUGAGUUGAUUUCUCUGUCUUCACAAAGAGAAAGGUAAAAGCCAAGUUGGCUUUAAACAAGAUAUACCUCAAAGCAUCAUAUGACUAUACCACGUGUAUGUGGGUGGUUGAGUUGAUUUCUCUGUCUUCACAAAGAGAAAGGUAAAAUGCUUUGAUGUAUAUCUUGUUUAAAUUUCACCCAUCGCCAGGGUUUAAUAUAUAACACGCCAAUGUAAGACUUUUGGUCGGCGUUUUAAGGGUUUUAACCCGUGUAUUUUUGGUGGGUUAGCCUGCAGAGCUUGCUUAGAACACUGAUGAUGCUCUCUUCAGAGCGAAAACGUUCUGUUUUUUAAUGUAGCCCUUCAUUGGGGUUUUAAAUAAAUAUACCUUUUACACAGAAGAUUUUCUUCAAUUUUUGUAAUUAAUGGUAUACAGUCAGUUACAGGAAAUUUUUCCUUAUGGACUUUAAAAAUAUGUUUUUAGUGAAAAACGGUUUUUUCCAGAAAUAUAUAAACUACUUUGAAUGUAUUCCAGAGAAGAAAUAAAUAUGUUUUGAAGUACACAGGUACUAUGUUCUUUGUUAUUUUAAUAACCAUCUUAAGCAGUAUUGACCACACAGCAUUCAUUCUAAAUUUGUUUACAAUGUGUACAAGGGAAUUGCAAUCGUCUGUAGGAAGUAUGUAUAUCACUGUCGAACUGAUGUUCUCUCUGCGCUUCUCAAGUCUGGUGAAAAAAUUCUUCUGUUAUCCUUGGUGGACCCUGAUUUUAUUGUAGAUAUUGGUUAUUUAAUCUAAUCAGUAAUUGGCAACUUUUAUAUUUCGAUGUUAGGAAUACAUGAUUUGAUUAGUGGUAAAUCACUAAUAAUUAAAAAAAAUGUCUAAAUAUAUCAACUAUUUCAAAAUAUAAUCAAUUUCAGAUUCAUUGGAGAACUAUUUUAUAUAUGAGGAGGUUGAUCAGACCAAUUUCGGAUUCAUUAUUUACUCUUUGGUAAAAUGUACUUGCCUCAAAUCAAUUUCUAGUCCAAAUAUUUCGUGCUUCUUUCAUAUUCUAGAAAAGAUGUAAAAUGUUGGUUUUUACUUAUAGCUUCGAAUUGCAAUUUUUUUUGUAAUAGGCGUGAAAAUUUUAUUAAGAUAUUUUGGAGUCUUCAUCUACAAUCCUGUUUUAUUCAAAUGAUAUUAACAUCUGGAACAAAUGGGGAAAACUUGUUAAAGCCGUAAUAAAGCAGACGUCAUACAAAAUAUCCCAGAUUUGGACGUUUUGGGCGUAUUAGGGGGACUCUAUAUCUAUGUUUGUGCCUUUCGGAUAGGCUUUGUCUUUCUUGAUCCAGGAGAUGCCUUACUUUCACAGCUAUUUAAAGCACUUAAUUUUAUUUAACACAAUUUUUGUGUUUGUACGGUGCUAAAAAAUUUUUAUGUAGCCGAGUAUUCUAGUUACAACAUAUUUAGGAAACUAAUCUAUGCUUGCAUCUCUAAAAUAUUGGGCAAUAUCGUAAUCAACGUAAUACGGAAACGUUAAGAUUAAAGCUAGAAUUUAGCAAGUGCAUAAAACCUCUUUUAGCUUCCGGCUAAUUCUUAGGGUAAGCCUUGACUUACCCUUAAUAGAUUCUGCCAGAAUUCCCUAUUCAAAGCUAGUUUUUUCCAGAUUUCUAUUGUUAAUUGUAACUUCGGACCCGAUUACUGCUUUAUGGUUUAUUUUUCCUUUAAAUACCUCAUACCUCUCGCUUGAAAAUCAAAGCAGAGUGACAACAUUUUUGGUCUUCUUCUACGCUUCCUUUUCGUAUUAACUUGUUGAAGCUGGUAUUACUGUGGUCGUAUUCCUGAUACGUGGAAUACUUAGCAUGGCUUUAAAGAUUGUAGUCUUUAGAGCCAUCAAAUAUUGCAAUUUUGUAUGAAAUAUGAUGAAGACCGCAAUCAGUGGUCAAUGGACUGAAAAAGAUGAAUUUCACAUAAAGCUUGCAUAUUUUCUACCAUCUGUUACGUUUAAUUUUAUACACAUAUAAACGUAAAUGUUAUAUUGUGGUGUGCAUUCUCGAUGAAUAAAAUAAAAAAAGUAAUAUCGAGAGUUUAUAUGAAUUUUUUUAAAGUACUCUACUUUACUUCUUAAACAAGCAGUCCAAACUUGAUCCAAAGAUUUAUAGCACGUAAUGAUAUAAUAUGAAAAGUCUUUAAUCUUAAUUUUGUAGCUUAAUCAUAAACAAUUUUAUUAAAUUGAAGCUAUUAUAUGGUCAUGAAACAAGCAUAAUUGAACAUAUAAUUUACAUAUUGCUUACCAAAAAAUGUUACGUUACACUCACUAUUAAUAUAUCAAUCAAAGGUAAUCGAUCAACUUUAAGUCAGCGGUAACUACUUUGCUGGUAAAGAUUUAAAUAAAUCGGUUUUAUAAAAAAUGUUGGGUGUGGUGCUUGUUCGAUUUGUAAUAUGAAAAUCCAUUAAAAACAUAGGCUUAAACAUUUUUAUUAUGAUUCUUUAAUUGCUAAUUAAACAUUUACAAUCAAUCAAAGUAGCAGUUUAUGCAAAAGGGUAAACCAAUACUAGGAAAAUAAAAUAGUUUCAACGGAUAAUUGCUACUUACAAAAUACUGGUUUUCAGUUUUUUCAUGCUAUUCUUUAGGUUCCUUCUCCUCGUCGGAGGUAUAAAUCAACACGACGCGACGACCCUAACUUUAUUUACAACUGUUUUGAACAGUUCAGUUGUUGUAAGUCCAAACCAAUCUCGCAAGUUCUUAAGCCAGGAUAUUGUGCUCCUGCCUUGACACUGUUUCCCUUCAGUCCUCUAAUAAUAUUAUGUCCAACGUAUUCAAGCUUUCUUGUUUUCAAGGUGCUGAUUAUUUCUUCGUUAUUUUUUCUUUCUCUGGGGAAAUUCUACAUUCGUUACUCUGUCAGUCCGUGAUAUUUUAAACUUGCGGCGGCAAUAUCCCUUUCAGGAGCCGCAAGAAUCUGAACCAUAAAGGAGAAUUCAUGUAAGGGAUCCAGUGAUUUGCCUAACUAUCAAGAUAUUUAUACCUUUCGAUCUUUCUAUUUGCUCAUUGCUUAAUGCAAGGUUAGCUUCACUAUCUAAAUAAAUAGAAGAAUUUCUACUUUCUCAGGAAACUGAUCAUCUACUUUAAUUUUUGCUGUCUGGUUCGAAGAAAGAUUCACUAUGAUUCUUAUAUAUCGGCUGUCUAUGUUUAUGCCUGUGAAAUCUCUAUUAGUUUGUGGUGUUGGACUUUAUCGAAUACUCUUUCGAAGUCUAUGACGCAUGCAUGUCGGUCCUGAUUCAUAUGCAAACAUCUUUGCGUCAAUACAUUAAUACCAAACAACGCAUCUCUGGUGCUCAUGCCUCUUCUAAACAUAACUUCGUUAGUUUGAUCGCAUGUAGGUACAACUUCUUGGCGCAAAACCCGUGGGCCCGUUUCUACAGAGGAAUCGAAAGUCAUCGGUGGUUCAUUAUCAUGGAAAAGUUCUUUUAUAUGCUUUAAAUCAUUAGACCCUUUCGGUCUUUAAUUAUGUACUUGUGAAAUAAUCUUCUUGUGAAGGCUGAAGCUGUCAUAUUUCAGUUCGUCUUCUUCAAACUUUUGAUCUUUUGGUUUAUUUUCUUCUAUUUAGUUGGAUCUUGCUUAUUUAUUCUUCUUAUGUCCAUUAAGUGUAAGACUUCGUCUUUGUUUCAGUUGUAUUUUGUUUAUCUCUUUGCUAAUAAAUUUUCUUCUCCUACUAUACUGUCACUAUGGUAUUUUUAAUAUUGUCUCAUGCUUCGUCUAUUUCGGCCGCUUGGCAGUAGCUGAAUGUUCCCAUUUAUUUUCUACUUUCUACUGAGCUUCUUGCCGAAUAUCUGGAUUCUUUAGUUUUCAGAGAUUAUAUAGUUACCAAGAUAGAGUCAUUCGUCAAGGAAAAAAACAAAAAAAAAGGGGUGUGUGGAAUAUGAUCAGCAAGGCUUUUGAAACAAAAUGCAAAUUAAAAAAAGUUAUUGGUUAGGUUUGUAAGAAUUUUUACCCGUUCAUAAAUUAGUGCUGUCAAAACUAGAACCGAGGCAGAAACAUUUAUGAUAUGUCUAAAAAGCUAUAGGGGAAAUUAUGAAUCGUGGAGUUUUUACUUCCGGUUUCAAGAAAACUAGAAAGGUCUCCGAAAUAUUAUGUACUGUACAUAAGGCGAAUAUCCACAAAAAUUUUCUGCCAGCAGAUGCUUCACAUGCUUUUUUCCAUCAAUAAACUUUUGUAAUGGUUCAUAUUGUCACAAAAAUCUAUGUUGUUCUUUCCGUGGCCAUUAUUAUUUAACAAAAGAUUAUAAAAAUAUUAAAAAGAUAUCAUUUUAUGACGACACCAUACGUGAGGAUUUAUCAUAUUAUACCUAUUACAAGUGCAAAUCACAGAAUCAUUCUAGUUGUAUUUCUGGUUUCACCUCUUUUAUUGUUAUGUUCUUUUUGAAUAAUUAGACAAUUGUUGUGUAUAAAGAAUACCAUAUCAUGGAUUUGUAAGAUUCUAUUAUUAACUAACAUUAUUUUUGUUGGCUUCGAGCCUAAAGUUGUAAAUUAUUUUAUCUGUUUGUAAAUAGUUCAAUGUAUAGAAGGAUAUUAUGAUUAUGAUUGUCUUAAUUAAAUCAUUAACAGAGACUAUAUCAUAAAU